GGCCUUGACAUUGUCGAUGGUGUCAGAGCUCUCAACCUCCAGAGUGAUGGUCUUGCCGGUGAGGGUCUUCACGAAGAUCUGCAUGCCACCACGCAGACGCAGGACAAGGUGGAGGGUGGACUCCUUCUGGAUGUUGUAGUCAGCGAGGGUUCGGCCAUCCUCCAGCUGCUUGCCAGCAAAGAUGAGACGCUGCUGGUCAGGGGGAAUGCCCUCCUUGUCCUGGAUCUUGGCCUUGACAUUGUCGAUGGUGUCAGACGACUCCACCUCAAGGGUGAUGGUCUUGCCCGUCAGUGUCUUCACAAAGAUCUGCAUCUGCAAAGAAGAAUAACAGAUAGGAUGGUAAGCAUAAAAGAAGCAGAUCGGCAAACUCACAAUGAUAGAACAACAAAUACUAAUGCAUGGACAAGCUUCUAUGGCAGCAGCAUAUUUUUUCAUUUAAAGAUAUUAAUGACCAUAGGUCCAUGUAUGUAACACAAAAGUCUACAGAUUACAUUGAUCUAACGAUUCCACAUAGCUGCCAAAACAUGCUUAUUAUCUAAGAGAAACCUAGCUUCAGGGUAAUACAUCAAGCACAUCUGACACUAAUGUACAUGAGCUUCAGGAAAAAAACAAUCUACAAUCCUAGGCCUAUUAGGACGAUCUUGGUACAACAGCAAUGUGAUAAAUAGCAACAGCUCAGGCAGGAUCCGCAUGUGGAGAAAAAAUUAUCACACAGCUACUAAUUUGGAUGAUAAAAGAUUUACCAAGCCUGAACGGAACUGUAAUAGAUGAAACAUGCAUAGAUUAACAUAUGAGACCAUAUGGCAUCAGGAAUUCACCUGGAAGAGCGGAUAGACCUAACCCUUUCAGUAAAAAUUAGGAAAUAAACACAAAAGCUUAACCAAUCUAACAACGCAAAUAGAUAAGCUUAUACAUCAAGCCAGAGACUCAACAGACAUAUUUUCUUCUUCAAAGAGAUACCAGCGAGCAAAUAGGUUCAUGCCUUCAUGCACAUCUAGACUAUCAAUUUUCUCACGGAUUUGCAUAUGUUGGGCAUGUUAUCAGGAUGAAAACCAUCUUCGGGUCAAAACCAAACUACAGUCUUAGGCCUAUUAGGACGAUCACGAGCGACAGACCACGCAGUCCACGCGUCUACAGAAAAUUUUAUAUGGCAUACAAGUUUUAUGUACUACUUGGGCGAAUCUAUCAAAACAUACGAGACCACACGUCAUCAAGGAAUCCAUCCUGAUCUACCCAUUCAAUACGAAUUAGCAUACGCGAAAUCCCUACGAAUUCGCUAAAUCUUCACCGAUCUAUAACAACAGAUCGGAGCCAAAUUCCACAGUACCACGCGUCCAACGAGAGCACCACGGAAACGUAGAUCCAGACGAUACAGGGAGAAGAGGGGAAGGAAUCGCCGUACCUUGAGGCGGUGGGGAAGGAGGAUUCGACAAGCCUCGAGUCGAUCGGAGACGAGAUUAGCUUGGGAUUUGUUGGUUCCGUUGCUGGGAGCGGUGGUGAGGAUUGGAGGAGGGGAGGGGGUGGGUAUUUAUGCCGGCUGGUGACGGGCCGGGUGGGGGAAGUGACGGUCCCGUCUGUUUGGUGCGUGCGUCUCCGCCAC
rnacentral:lncRNA from 1 species